AUGGUUAAGUUAGAAAGGGCGCACGGUGGAUGCCUUGGCACUAGGAGCCGAAGAAGGACGGGACUAACACCGAUAUGCUUUGGGGAGCUGUACGUAAGCGUUGAUCCAGAGAUUUCCGAAUGGGGGAACCCACUAUCUUUAGUCGGAUAGUAUCCUUACGUGAAUACAUAGCGUAAGGAAGGCAGACCCAGGGAACUGAAACAUCUAAGUACCUGGAGGAAGAGAAAGAAAAAUCGAUUUCCUGAGUAGCGGCGAGCGAAACGGAAAGAGCCCAAACCAAGAAGCUUGCUUCUUGGGGUUGUAGGACACUCUAUACGGAGUUACAAAGGAAUGUGGUAAACGAAGUGGUCUGGAAAGGCCCGCCAAAGAAGGUAACAGCCCUGUAAUUGAAAGCAUAUUCCCUCCAGAGUGGAUCCUGAGUACGGCGGAACACGUGAAAUUCCGUCGGAAUCCGGGAGGACCAUCUCCCAAGGCUAAAUACUCCCUAGUGACCGAUAGUGAACCAGUACCGUGAGGGAAAGGUGAAAAGCACCCCGGAAGGGGAGUGAAACAGUUCCUGAAACCGUGUGCCUACAAGUAGUUAGAGCCCGUUAAUGGGUGAUAGCGUGCCUUUUGUAGAAUGAACCGGCGAGUUACGAUUUGUUGCAAGGUUAAGCGGAAAAAGCGGAGCCGUAGCGAAAGCGAGUCUGAAUAGGGCGCAUGAGUAACAGGUCGUAGACCCGAAACCAGGUGAUCUACCCAUGUCCAGGAUGAAGGUGAGGUAAUACUCACUGGAGGUCCGAACCCACGCACGUUGAAAAGUGCGGGGAUGAGGUGUGGGUAGCGGAGAAAUUCCAAUCGAACCUGGAGAUAGCUGGUUCUCUCCGAAAUAGCUUUAGGGCUAGCCUCGAGGUAAAGAGUCGUGGAGGUAGAGCACUGUUUGGACUAGGGGCCCUUCUCGGGUUACCGAAUUCAGAUAAACUCCGAAUGCCAUGUACUUAUACUCGGGAGUCAGACUGCGAGUGAUAAGAUCCGUAGUCGAAAGGGAAACAGCCCAGACCACCAGUUAAGGUCCCAAAAUAUAUGUUAAGUGGAAAAGGAUGUGGGGUUGCAUAGACAACCAGGAUGUUGGCUUAGAAGCAGCCACCAUUGAAAGAGUGCGUAAUAGCUCACUGGUCGAGUGACCCCGCGCCGAAAAUGUACCGGGGCUAAACAUAUUACCGAAACUGUGGAUGAACCUCUUCGGAGGUUCGUGGUAGGAGAGCGUUCUAAGGGCGGUGAAGUCAGACCGGAAGGACUGGUGGAGCGCUUAGAAGUGAGAAUGCCGGUAUGAGUAGCGAAAGAAGGGUGAGAAUCCCUUCCACCGAAUAUCUAAGGUUUCCUGAGGAAGGCUCGUCCGCUCAGGGUUAGUCGGGACCUAAGCUGAGGCCGAUAGGCGUAGGCGAUGGACAACAGGUAGAUAUUCCUGUACCAGUGCUAGUUGUUUGAGCAAUGGGGUGACACAGAAGGAUAGGGAAUCGCACAGAUGGAAACGUGCGUCCAAGCAGUGAGUGUGAGAAGUAGGCAAAUCCGCUUCUCGCGAAGCAUGAGCUGUGAUGGGGAAGGAAAUU
rnacentral:rRNA from 1 species